rnacentral:rRNA from 1 species
UACGUAGGGGGCUAGCGUUGUUCGGAAUUACUGGGCGUAAAGCGCACGUAGGCGGUUCGAUCAGUCAGGGGUGAAAUCCCAGGGCUCAACCCUGGAACUGCCUUUGAUACUGUCGAUCUGGAGUAUGGAAGAGGUGAGUGGAAUUCCGAGUGUAGAGGUGAAAUUCGUAGAUAUUCGGAGGAACACCAGUGGCGAAGGCGGCUCACUGGUCCAUUACUGACGCUGAGGUGCGAAAGCGUGGGGAGCAAACAGG